rnacentral:lncRNA from 1 species
CAAGGCCAAAGUCCUGAGCCCCCCUCUGCUGGUCCCAGUCCAGCUCUUAUCAACUCCCCAAAGGAAAACCCAUUGGUUCUUGGCUCCGAGGACAGGAAGGGGUGGAGUUACUGUCCUGUCAACUCAAGCAUCUGUGGAACGGGAGAAGCUGGGCCCCAGGAGCCCUGUGUCUCCCAGGAGAGGCCAUUGAAAAUACUGGAGCAACAGCGCCUCUGCUUCCAUUUCUCCUUGCCCCACCCCCUCCAGGGCACUCAGGGAGUAGGCGGCAGAAUAAAUGUGCAGGGCCUCCUUUGUUGCUCAUGGCUGGAUAGCUCUUAAGAGUCAGGCUUCCACUCACUUCUCUCCAGAUGAAGGAAAGAAAUUCACAGGUCCCAGAUCUGCCCAUUCAGGUGACACCUAACAUUGGCAUGGUGUCGAUUUACUUUUUUCACGAGUGUGUGUGUGCACAUGUGGGCUUGUGUGCUUUCCGAGAGAAUGUUGUUUGGCCAAAGCAGCACAGUAUUAAUAUUUAGAGUAGGAAGCAGCCUCUUAGGCACCACAGUUAAAAACUAAGAGAACGAACAAAAUUUCAGAGCUUGAGACCUGGGACAUUUAAAUCCUCAAGGGGUUUGGAACAAAAUAAACAGAUCUAAAUGUU